rnacentral:rRNA from 2 species
ACUCUGGUAUUGAUUGGUGCUUGCAUCAUGAUUUACAUUUGAGUGAGUGGCGAACUGGUGAGUAACACGUGGGAAACCUGCCCAGAAGCGGGGGAUAACACCUGGAAACAGAUGCUAAUACCGCAUAACAACUUGGACCGCAUGGUCCGAGUUUGAAAGAUGGCUUCGGCUAUCACUUUUGGAUGGUCCCGCGGCGUAUUAGCUAGAUGGUGGGGUAACGGCUCACCAUGGCAAUGAUACGUAGCCGACCUGAGAGGGUAAUCGGCCACAUUGGGACUGAGACACGGCCCAAACUCCUACGGGAGGCAGCAGUAGGGAAUCUUCCACAAUGGACGAAAGUCUGAUGGAGCAACGCCGCGUGAGUGAAGAAGGGUUUCGGCUCGUAAAACUCUGUUGUUAAAGAAGAACAUAUCUGAGAGUAACUGUUCAGGUAUUGACGGUAUUUAACCAGAAAGCCACGGCUAACUACGUGCCAGCAGCCGCGGUAAUACGUAGGUGGCAAGCGUUGUCCGGAUUUAUUGGGCGUAAAGCGAGCGCAGGCGGUUUUUUAAGUCUGAUGUGAAAGCCUUCGGCUCAACCGAAGAAGUGCAUCGGAAACUGGGAAACUUGAGUGCAGAAGAGGACAGUGGAACUCCAUGUGUAGCGGUGAUGGG